rnacentral:rRNA from 1 species
AGCGAACGCUGGCGGCAGGCUUAACACAUGCAAGUCGAGCGGGCGUAGCAAUACGUCAGCGGCAGACGGGUGAGUAACGCGUGGGAACAUACCUUUUGGUUCGGAACAACACAGGGAAACUUGUGCUAAUACCGGAUAAGCCCUUACGGGGAAAGAUUUAUCGCCGAAAGAUUGGCCCGCGUCUGAUUAGCUAGUUGGUGAGGUAAUGGCUCACCAAGGCGACGAUCAGUAGCNGGUCUGAGAGGAUGAUCAGCCACAUUGGGACCGAGACACGGCCCAAACUCCUACGGGAGGCAGCAGGUGGGGAAUAUUGGACAAUGGGCGCAAGCCUGAUCCAGCCAUGCCGCGUGAGUGAUGAAGGCCCUAGGGUUGUAAAGCUCUUUUGUGCGGGAAGAUAAUGACGGUACCGCAAG